GGCCGGGGUCACCAGAGCGUCCCCCUCCUAAGGGGAAGGUCGCCCGUUCGAAUCGGGCCGGGGUCACCA
rnacentral:tRNA from 1 species